rnacentral:rRNA from 1 species
GCAUGUGGUGGAUGCCUUGGCGAUCACAGGCGAUGAAGGACGUGCAAGCCUGCGAAAAGCUACGGGGAGCUGGCAAUGAAGCUUUGAUCCGUAGAUGUCCGAAUGGGGAAACCCACCCGCAAGGGUAUCCUGAUCUGAAUACAUAGGGUCAGGAGGCGAACCCGGUGAACUGAAACAUCUAAGUAGCCGGAGGAAAAGAAAUCAACCGAGAUUCCGUAAGUAGUGGCGAGCGAACACGGAAGAGCCUGCUAGUGAUAGCGGAACUGUUAGAAGAACGGAAUGGAAAGUCCGGCCGUAGUGGGUGAUAGCCCCGUAUUCGAAAACAGAUCCGUGGUACUAAGUUAGCGAAAAGUAGGGCGGGGCACGUGAAACCUUGUCUGAACAUGGGGGGACCAUCCUCCAAGGCUAAAUACUCGUGAUCGACCGAUAGUGAACUAGUACCGUGAGGGAAAGGCGAAAAG